UACGGGGGGGGCAAGCGUUACUCGGAAUUACUGGGCGUAAAGCGUGCGUAGGUGGUUCGUUAAGGCUUAUGUGAAAGCCCUGGGCUCAACCUGGGAAUGGCAUUGGAUACUGGCGACCUAGAGUGCGGUAGAGGGUGGCGGAAUUCCCGGUGUAGCAGUGAAAUGCGUAGAUAUCGGGAGGAACAUCCGUGGCGAAGGCGGCCACCUGGACCAGCACUGACACUGAGGCACGAAAGCGUGGGGAGCAAACAGG
rnacentral:rRNA from 1 species